UUUGGAUCCGGUUGUUUGGCUCUGAAAAUCGAGUUGUUGCGGGCUUUCCAGACGAACCAUAGCACCGUCGCCACCAACUCCUUUUCGGAGUAGGAACAGAUGCUCGGUCAUCUCCGAACAUGUAUUACAAAGCAAGCAUAUUGGGUUAGGGUGCGUUACUAGAAGAAGUGGACUAUGGUCUGAGCCUACAGCUGGGAGAGCCAGAGCUUCAGCAUUUGGAAACGCCACCCUCCAUUCCAUGGCGUUUCAGGGACGACAUCUUCAGCAUCAUAAGUUGUCUCUAAUUUCCCAUAGAAUGCUUCCCAAUGAGGGUUGUGAUGUGACAUCCCAGAUUUUCAACCCUGUUUUCUACUGAACAAAUCGGGCAUUUC